rnacentral:rRNA from 1 species
UACGGGGGGGGCAAGCGUUGUUCGGAAUUACUGGGCGUAAAGUGUGCGCAGGCGGCAGAGCAAGUCGAGUGUGAAAGCCCCGGGCUUAACUUGGGAAUUGCGCUCGAAACUACUUUGCUGGAGUGUGGCAGAGGAAGGUGGAAUUCCACGUGUAGCGGUGAAAUGCGUAGAGAUGUGGAGGAACACCAAUGGCGAAGGCAGCCUUCUGGGCCAACACUGACGCUCAUGCACGAAAGCGUGGGGAGCAAACAGG